UUACGAGGUACAACAAACCUGCUGAUCCUCACGCAGAUAUUUCCAGUGAGGCUGAUGGCUCUCCGGAGCCGCAGAAUCGUGGUAAUCUGACACCUGAGAUGAGGAGCAUGGUAGAUGAUUCUGUGAUGGAGAAGGCUGAUGUUGAUGAAGAAACGCUGAAGUCCCGUGAAAGCUGCGGUGUGGGAAUAUUGAUCCGAAACAACGAUGCAUUUCAACAGUGGAAGGAGAGCCAGGCAGGCAGUGUGGAACGUGAAACUCGAGCUUUAAGAGACUCGAGACCAGAAGCACAGUCAGGGAGCGCAGACCAUGAUGCGGGAACUCAUUCUGAUGGAAACGAUGGUGAAGCUCAGAGGUCAACAGAGAUCCAGCUAGACUCCUGUGAGAUGGAGGCGGAUUCAUCAGGUGUAAGGCAGGAUUAUGUAAACAAGCUGGCAGCAGGAAGUCAGAGGAUAGAAAACCCAAAGAGAGUCACCUUCAUCCUGGAGCCCGAGCUGAUUAACAGCUCGCCCGUGACUGAGAGCGAUACCUCAAUGGAGUCCAGGACUGAGACAAGUCUGUCAGACGAUGGAUUGAGCUCUCACGAUGAGACCGGGACCGCUGAAGUAAUCGACAAGAUGUUUGAAGAGGUGCUGGAAUGUGCCGGAAAUGUGGAAGAAAAGGAGCGAGUGGAUGAAGAUGCAGAGGACUGCGAUAGUGGUAUCGGUGCUUGCUCUGGAGAUAAAGACAAGAUGGACACCGACGUGCAGAAGGAGACGAGUGAAGAAGCAACAGAAGAGGGGAAGAAUGAAAGCAACAAGCUGGACAGUUAUGGAGAUGAGCUGCUGACCUUUCCUCCAAGCGUCAUCCUCUCUCCUCUCAGCAAGUCUGUAGAAGCUGCGGUCACCCCGAUGCGGCUGGCAGCAGCUCAGGAGUCAAGCUCUUCAUCGUUGCUCCUGACUCCAGAAGAAACCAGCACCCCUCCGGCUGACUUCGCUCCACUUUACAGGUACCUCGUUUUGGUUUUACAGAACAAAAAGGAGGACAAGCUCGUAAAAAGCUUUGUUUUUAUUUUACAAGUGGGUCUCUAA
rnacentral:lncRNA from 1 species